rnacentral:rRNA from 1 species
AUUGAACGCUGGCGGCAUGCCUUACACAUGCAAGUCGAACGGCAGCACGGGAGCAAUCCUGGUGGCGAGUGGCGAACGGGUGAGUAAUAUAUCGGAACGUGCCCAGUCGUGGGGGAUAACGUAGCGAAAGCUACGCUAAUACCGCAUACGAUCUAUGGAUGAAAGCGGGGGAUCGCAAGACCUCGCGCGAUUGGAGCGGCCGAUAUCAGAUUAGGUAGUUGGUGAGGUAAAGGCUCACCAAGCCGACGAUCUGUAGCUGGUCUGAGAGGACGACCAGCCACGCUGGGACUGAGACACGGCCCAGACUCCUACGGGAGGCAGCAGUGGGGAAUUUUUGGGACAAUGGGCGCAAGCCUGAUCCAGCAAUGCCGCGUGCAGGAUGAAGGCC